AGCUUUGCGCAGUGGCAGUAUCGUAGCCAAUGAGGUUUACCUGAAGCUCAAUUAUUGCUAAUUGAAAACUUUUCCCAAUACCCCACCAUGACAACUUGAAAUAUAGUUGGCACUGGCAAUUUUUAACAGUCUCUACAGAGA
rnacentral:snRNA from 1 species